UGGGGAAUUUUGCGCAAUGGGGGAAACCCUGACGCAGCGACGCCGCGUGGAGGGAUGACGGCCUUCGGGUUGUAAACUCCUGUCAGAANGGGACGAAAUCCCGCAAGGGACUGACGGUACCUUCAGAGGANCCCGGCUAACUACGUGCCAGCAGCCGCGGUAAUACGUAGGGGCGAAGCGUUGCUCGGAAUUACUGGGCGUAAAGGGUGAGUAGGCGGUCGGGCAAGUCAAGGAUGAAAUCCCGAGGCUCAACUUCGGAAUUGUUCUUGAAACUGCUCGGCUUGAGGGUAGUUGAGGAGAGCGGAAUUCCCGGUGGAGCGGUGAAAUGCGUAGAUAUUGGGAGGAACACCUGAGGCGAAGGCGGCUCUCUAAACUACUCCUGACGCUGAAUCACGAAAG
rnacentral:rRNA from 1 species